CCUUCGAUAGCUCAGUUGGUAGAGCGGUGGACUGUAGCGUGAUAAGAGAGAAGAAAGAUCGCUCUCUCUCUUUGAAGUAGUAGUAAUCCAUAGGUCACUGGUUCAAAUCCGGUUCGAAGGA
rnacentral:tRNA from 1 species